rnacentral:rRNA from 1 species
GAUGAACGCUGGCGGCGUGCUUAACACAUGCAAGUCGAACGAUGAAGCCCAGCUUGCUGGGUGGAUUAGUGGCGAACGGGUGAGUAACACGUGAGUAACCUGCCCUUAACUCUGGGAUAAGCCUGGGAAACUGGGUCUAAUACCGGAGAGGAGCGUCCACCGCAUGGUGGGUGUUGGAAAGAUUUAUCGGUUUUGGAUGGACUCGCGGCCUAUCAGCUUGUUGGUGGGGUAAUGGCUCACCAAGGCGACGACGGGUAGCCGGCCUGAGAGGGUGACCGGCCACACUGGGACUGAGACACGGCCCAGACUCCUACGGGAGGCAGCAGUGGGGAAUAUUGCACAAUGGGCGGAAGCCUGAUGCAGCGACGCCGCGUGAGGGAUGACGGCCUUCGGGUUGUAAACCUCUUUCGGUUGGGAAGAAGCGAGAGUGACGGUACCUGGAGAAGAAGCACCGGCUAACUACGUG